rnacentral:rRNA from 1 species
UACGAAGGGUGCAAGCGUUAUUCGGAGUUAUUGGGCGUAAAGGGUGUGUAGGCGGCGUGUUAAGUCAGCUGUUAAAUUCCUCAGCUUAACUGAGGGCCAGCAGCUGAAACUAGCAUGCUAGAGGAUGGAAGAGAGAAGUGGAAUUCUCGGAGUAGCGGUAAAAUGCGUAGAUCUCGAGAGGAACACCGAUGGCGAAGGCAGCUUCUUGGUCCAUUUCUGACGCUGAGGCACGAAAGCGUGGGGAGCAAACAGG